UUACAAGAUGAUAAAUCAUAAACUUACUCUAUAUAAUAGUCACCAUUUUCUCCCCAGAGGACACAGUUCAAGCUGCAUGUGCAAUGAUAGUCCUUACGCGAUAAUGAAGCACUCUUAGGAAUGGAUGGAAUUGGUAAACAGAUUCAAGUGAUUUUUCUAUGCUAAGAGAAAUCAAAAUGGUCAUUUUAAUUUAGCGGGCAAGAUACUUCAUUGCUGGGAGGCUUUGAAAGAUAAUUGAUCUGUCUAUGUUUGGGACGGUACAGAUACCCCGCCAAAUAUCAUAACUUCAAUGAAUUAGAUUUGAAAAGAAAUCAACCAUCCACUUUCAUUACAAUUGGAAUCUCUGCCUUUGGUGCUAUUAGUUCCCAACGAAAAGUUGCUUAUAGUAUGUUGAUAUUUAUUUCGUCUCUUCAAGUUUCUGAUGAAUUUUAAUCGGAAAUAGAGAAAGAAUCGGUACCAUUAUACGAAUAGUGAAAGAUGGAAUACAUAUUUGAAAGUUGUUUAAGAUGGAAAAUAAUGUUGAAGCACAUGUGCCAAAGGAGGGAGUAGAAGACUUGUCAACUGGAGUAGUUGAUGAAGCAACUGGUGAAAUCACUGUUGUUGAUGAUAUUAGCGCUGCUGAGGAUGAAAAAUCUAUUGAAAAAAAUAUAAAUGUUAAUAGUAUGGAGGAUAUUCUUAACAUGGACCAUAACAAAUUAAGUCUCCAUGAGACAAUGAAAUUUCAAUUUUCAAGCCUUGACAUGGCUUAUGCGUUCUACAACUGGUACUAAAAAUGAUUGAAAUUACCCUGCGUCAAAAUAUUAACGAAUAAUUUAGGAAGGAACAAAUUAAAGUGGAUCCUGGUGCACACUAUUUAUCCAAAGGAAGGAUAGUCAGGUAGUCCUAGUUGGGGUGUUUCAUUUUUUAUGUAGACAACUGAAGAUGCGGCUAAAGCUAUUGUUGCUGCUAUGAAUACUCCAAGGUCGUCUGUUAUAUAUUCGUCAAAUGAAUAGGGUGGUAGCCAACUUAAACGGCCGCAGUAUCAAUUUACGAAAUUGAUAAAAGGCUUUUCUCGCGCUCCUUAAGUUAAAUAGGAGCUACCAACAUUCAUUUGGAUUUCCACUGACAAGGUAAAGAUCACUAUAUGCGGUUGAACCUGCAGACAGUGAUAAGGUUGCAUUUGUUUUAAAGUGGCUGCAUCUAGGCGUUGGAUUUAUUACGGAGUUGAUUUUUAGCUAAGGUCUUUUAUGCAUGUGAUGCGUUCGAGCUUGGUGCUUUGCUUGAGGCGGUUUUAUGGUAGUUUGCAGUUGGUUGAGUGUAGAACCUUGUUUAUCAAUGUUUGUAUGUAUUUGAGUAGUUGUAAUUAACUUUGGGGUUGAAUUAGCUUUGGUGGAGUUUCUGUCAUCCAGCAGUAUGAAUGUAAC